rnacentral:tRNA from 1 species
AUUUGCAUAGUUUAAUAAAAAAAAAACAUUUCAUUUUCAUUGAAAAAUUAAAUAAUAAUUAUUUUACAAAUA